CUACGGGAGGCAGCAGUGGGGAAUAUUGCACAAUGGGCGCAAGCCUGAUGCAGCCAUGCCGCGUGUAUGAAGAAGGCCUUCGGGUUGUAAAGUACUUUCAGCGGGGAGGAAGGGAGUAAAGUUAAUACCUUUGCUCAUUGACGUACCGCAG
rnacentral:rRNA from 1 species